CUGGCCUCGUGAUCUGCCCGUCUCGGCCUCCCAAAGUGCUGGGAUUACAGGCGUGAGCCACCGCGCCCAGCCGCCGAGAUCAUUCUUGUUUUAAGAAAACCCACCAUUAUUUUCCUCUCUAGCCACAUGGAUUCUAAAACCUCCUCUUCUGAGCUGUAAUCAGAAUGCAGAGAAGUAAUACAAGGUUAGGGCCCGGGACUCCUUCUCCCACCUCUCCCAGCAGAGACCCAGAAUUUUUUAAAAAAUGACCUUGGUCUUCAGGGAAAGAACUUCCCACCACAAUGAGCAGCCAUGCCCAGCCUACCCUUGACUGUGGGGCUUACUUAGCUCAUCCAUCCAAAGGCUAUUCCUGGGAUACCUAGUAGGAAUCCAGGCAUGGAGCUAGUGCAAGCAUAAUGAUAAGAGUAAGCCCAGCAGUCACGGGCCCCGGUAAUAACCAGGUAAACAAAUAAACAGAACUAUAAACUGUGAUGACAACAAUUCAUCUGUCCACAGAUAUUCACUGAAUGUCCACUGUGUGCCUGGCACUGUUCCAAGUGCUGAAGAAAAAUGAAGAAAACAAAAAUCCGUGCCCUUGUAGAGGAGACAUUGUAAUGUGGAAGAUGACAUAAUGAAAAAGAAUGAAGAACAAAAGAGAAAAGUAACAUGUCACUUGAUGACAAGUACUGUGGAAUGAGACUGUCAUCUAUAUGAAGCACAGAAAGUGGAACAUGGCAACAUCUCAGCCAAAAGACCUGGCAGACACCACCUUGGCCAAGGGAUCAAGGUUGGCAUCGCCGGCUGUAAGCAGUGCUGACAUCUCGUUCUCUUCGAUAUGGCGUCAUGAGCAGGCUGCCUCGCUGGUGGGAUCUUCCUCCAAACCCAGAACUUCAGUCCAAUCACGAGAAAAUGACAGCCAAUCCCAAGUUCAGGGACAUUUGGCAAAAUACCCCACUACUCCUACUUAAAAGUGUCGAGGUCAUGAAAGGAUGGAAACCCUGGGAAAUCGUCAUUGGCCGGAGGAAACUAAGCAGACACGAUGACUAAAUGCAAUGUAGAAUCCUGGGACAGAAAAGGACAUUAGUGGGAGACCUGGUGAAACCCAAGUGAUUUUUCCCUGUUGGUGAGCUCAUUCCGUGGGAGGGCCUGGUGGGUGUUGGAGAAGCAGCUGGGGAUAGAGAUAUUCACUGAAUGCCCACUGUGUGCCUGGCACUGUUCCAAGUGCUGAAGAAAAAUGAAGAAAACAAAAAUCCGUGCCCUUGUAGAGGAGACAUUGUAAUGUGGCAAGAUGACAUAAUGAAAGAGAAUGAAGAACAAAACAGAGAAGUAAAAUGGAUUGCAGGUCCACAGUACUGAUCCUUCUCUGCCACCCUUCUCCAAGACCACCUUGGUGGGAGUAAGGGGCUCUAAGGGGACAACAGACACAGGAACCAGACACAAGACACAAGACACUUUUGACUCCCAGGAGAACCUAGUGUGGGCAUCCAUACGCCCUUCCUGAUGGUGACUUUUUACACGGACAUGCAGAGUACAGUUAACCAGCUGCUCCUGCACACGUCUGGGUCUCUACUCACACAUCUGUGCACAUGCGUGAGUGCGUGCGUGCGCGCACACACACACACACACACACACACAGCCUCCUGGAGCACUGUGGAUUCUGGGUGGCUAACUCAGCUACAGCCUCUGGUUGUACUGAUCUGAGCACCCAUUGCCUGCUGGGGUGGGGAGAGGGCAGGCACUUUCCCUGCGUGACCCCGUUUAACCCUCUCAGUGCCCCACUGAGGUGGUCCCUGUUGUCUCCAAUGGACAGAGGAAGAACCUGAGUCAGGAACCCAGAGCGGUGUCUCCACUAAGUAGAAGCCUCUGUUUCUCUCCCAGCCUCUCCCAGAGGAGCUAUUCUGAAGUGUGUGGAUUUGAUCAGGAUAAUCAAGGUAAAUGAUCCUUAUCUUGAUACAUCACAAAUGUUAGGGUUCAAGGCUCUGAGGGUGGAGCGUGGGUGGAGUCUCUGCUGCCUGGUAUCCUAAGCUGGGUGAUUGCAAGCGGACACAAUGUGACCGCCUCUCGGGCCACGCAGGGGGAAUGAAUGUAACGAGGCCUGGCUUACAGGGUUGUUGAAGGCUCAGGGGAGACCAGGCAAAAAAAAAAAAAAAAAGCUAUGACCUGCGACCUCCCUAUAGCAGUGUUUCUCAAACUCUGAUUAACGUUACUUGAGGAACUUGUUAAAAAUACGUAUUCCUGGCCCUGAUCAGAUAAAUCAGGACAAGUCAGAAUAUUUGACGCAGAGUCUUUAAGCUCCCCCUUGGGAUUCAAAUGCACACAGAUUUUUGGUGCUUUGCCACCUACAGUACAAGAAAGGGCAGGACUGUCCUGUUCAGUGCACUAUGACCUGGGCGCUCAGGCCCCAAUAACUCCCCUACUCCCCCAGCUCCCUGCGGUGCCACCCACCUAGCUUUCAUGCCUGAGGGUGGUCCUCAGACUCCUCCUAGAACAGGCCCAGAGGCUCUUAGUUAUGUAAGUAUCCAUUCCUCCAAUCACUGCAGAGCACUCACCAGGUAACAAGCACACACGCCCAGGCGAGCUCCCCAUGCUCAUCCCCACGUUGACGUCUCAGACUCUACAAGUCUUCAGCUGCUGCCUAGGACUCUGUAAGUCCUUGAGCCUGGGACCCCCUACCACACACAAGAGCUGGCAUGCCCUACAGGCGGGGAAGUGCUGACCAUAUACACCCAGGAAGUCGGAAUUCCAGAUAAUGAGUUAACUUUUUAACGGAAUUCCAGAUAAUGAGUAACUUUUUAGCACAAGUACCCAUGCCCUAUGAAUUGUGAGGUGUUUUUGUUUGUGAAAUCGGACAAUUCUACCUGUAGGGAACAGGGAUGAUUGAGAAGCAGCUGCUCUGAUGGCCAGAAGCCAACAGCCUUCCCUGCAGAGAUGCGGGAAAUCCCGGGGAGAGCGGGAAAGGUCAGGCACUGCACUGGCAGUGGGAGUGGAGCUUGGGUCAGAGGAGGGUCAGUGCCAUGAGGAAAGACCCUGGGAGGCUUCCUGCUACAUAAUGUGAGGGCCGAGAGCAUAACAAAAGAUUGACUUAUCCAUGAUUGCAUCAAACUGAAGCCUGAGACAGAACAUUCUGUGAGGUAGCCUUGUUCACUGCAGAGGAGCUGACUCACACGGUUUUGUCCAGGAAGUUGCAAGCUGUGCCAGGAGUAGCCAACCUGGGAGUAGCAAAGAGGCUUUUCUAAUGCAGGUUUUCCCAGAGCUCCUCUCCCUCCCUCCCCUGGCCAAAGAUGAGCUCUGCAGGGAGAGCCGGCUCUAGGGGACUUUGCUCCUAGGCAUCCCAGCUGCAGAGAUUGGUGGUGCCAGUCCAGAAAGGGGGGUCUUCUGGACCAGGGGAUGAUGGGGUUGGGCCUCAGGGCACUGGGAGGCCAGUAGGGGUGCUUCAAACUGGCCAGUGACCUGAAGGACUCAUAUUCUUAAGGAUAUCCUGGUGGCCACGUAGAAAACAGUCUGGUGGGAUGAGGGUGGAAGUGAGGACCAGCUCAGAGGUCACUAAGGGUGCAGCCAGAUAGGCUGGGACCCACAUGGGCAGCAGAGGUGGGGAGUAGGGAUGUGGAGGGGGAGACCCAGCCCCACGCUGGGGGCCUCAAGGGAAGGUGGAGGCUGAGCCAGGAGAAGAGGCACCACCCACUGACGUCCUGCUUGCUGAAUAACUGUGAGGAGCAGGAUGAGGAGCAAAAGAGCAAGCGAGGAAGUCAAGGGGGUUAUUUGGGUGCUAUGCUCCAUGUGAGGGUAGCUAAGUACAGGUGCCAAGGAGGCACCUUUGUCAAAAUCCCAGCUCAAAAUGUUAGUUACCAGAGGCCUCUGAUAAAGACAGAGCCACAGGUAAAACGCAGCAUGCACAACCCCUCAACCCUAAAAUCAGAAGGCUAUCUGUGUCCUGGCGAGGAGAGAAGCACAAUUGAUCAUCCACACCACCAGGAUGCAAGCCCAUUAUUUCUGAUGCAAAACCCAGGCUCCUUCCAGGGCUGGCACAGAGAACAGCCAGAGGUGUCACGAGGCCUCCACCUUCCCCAGUUGGGCAAUCUCAGAGGGUAUCUCCUUAUCUCUGAGAUCACUGUGUCUUCAUGUCCAGGCUGGGCCCAGGUCACCUGGGAGUGGAGCUGUGUUUGCAGAGAAGGAACUAGGGUGGACGUCGAAGCCAACCUGCCUGGUUCAGAAUCCUGGCUCAGCUUGGCACUUACCAACAGUGGCAGUGAGGCCUUGGGAAUGAGCUUCACCUCUCUGCACUUCUGUUUCCUCAUAUCUAGAGUUGAGGGAGUGAUAGGACCCGCCUCAGUGGGUGUUCAUGUGGAUUCCAUGGGCUCUUAAGCAUAAAGAACAGAGCAGCUAUGAUGACCAUCAUCUAUGUCACUGGGCCACCGGGGAUGAGGGAAGAAGAGGCAGAUCUACUUAAGUACAAGGAAGGUGGAGGAAGGUAGUAAGGCAUCAGCCAUGUGGCACAGAUUGUAUUAUGAGAUUGACUGGUUUUCUUACGUCACCCUCAAAUUUCCCUCCUUACCCGCUUCCCAUGAUUCCUGAGAGUCAAGAGGAUGGGAGCUGUGGAAUGUGUUAGUCAUCCACUGCUGCAGAGCCAGUCGCCCAUGAUUAUCUCACGGAGUUCCUGAGGGUCAGGAAUCCAGGAGGGGCUAAGCUGGGUGGUUCCAGCUCGAGGUCUCUCUUGAGCUUGCUGUCAAGCUGUUGGCCAGGGCAAUCCCAGAAGGCUCACUCAUGAUGCUGUUGGUAGAAGGUCUCAGUUCCUCACCAUGUGGGCUACUCACAGGGCUGCUCAAAUGUGACUUAGAAAGAGAGAGAGAGAGAGGAAGAGAGAGAGAGAGAGAGAAAGAGAGAGAGAGAGACAGAGGUUUAUUUGUUUGGUGUUCAGGACUGAGAGAGAGGGUAUAGAGAGAAAGCACAAAAGAGAGAGAGAAAAAAAGAGAAAGGCAGAGAGAGAGAUAGAGACAGAGAGACAGAGACAGAGACACAGAUGAUUGUUUAAUGUCCAGGACCAAGAGAGAGAAAAAAGAGAGAAAGCACAAAAGAGAGGGGAAAAGAGAAAGACAGACAGAGUGAGAGACAGAGAGAGAGAACCCACAGCAGAAGCAGCAGUCUUUUUAUAACCCAGUCUCAGAAAUGAUACCCCACCCCUUCUGCCUUAGAAGGAAGUCACUAAGUCCAGUCCAAUGCAAGGGGAGGUAAUUAAGCUCUAUCUCUUCAAGGAAGUGGUAUCAGACAUUUGUGGACACAUUUGUAAAAUGACCAGAGCAUUAGAACCUCAGAAUCCAGCAGAGUAAUUGCCCUAAUAGGAGAUGAUUAAUGUUUUUAAAAAUGGAUGGACUAGCUGAAGGAAUAAAUGAACGACAGAGUGAGCAGGA